ACACACACACAUUUAUAUUUUAAAGUGGCUUAUUGGACCUGUGCAGACAGCUCAUAGGGCAACCGGCGAUUGCCACCAACCUUGAGGACUUGGGUUCGAUUCCCUGGGAACCACGUGGAGCUGGGAGUGCGGACAUACAUGUCAACUACCUGGAAAUUAUCAAUGACUGCACGUGCCCAGCUCUUCUGGACCCUCUGAUGUUCUGUCACAUGGGAGCAAAUGGAGAGCUGGGACAUCCUUUGACCUCAGCCCUCAAAGGAUAAUUAACUUCUUGCUCAAUCCCUCAGCAUUUGACCAAAAUACCAAGAUAAAAAUGUAGGCCCGUGUUAGUACAAAAGGUCCUGCAUUCAACUGUCCUCCUUAUAUUGCCCAAGAAGUCUUGUGGAAUUCCAAGAAGAAUUCAAGGGGCCAGACCUGGAAUAUGCAUCAAUGAGAAUAAGACACUGACGAAGCUAACGACACUAACGGGGAAUGAGGAUAAUCGACUCCUGUCCUUUGUUUUACUCUUUAACCUAGUAAUAAAUCCCUUUAAAGGCC
rnacentral:lncRNA from 1 species